GAAUCCUUAAUUGAGUGACCAUGUUGCAACCCGAGCCGACCCAGCUUUUCCGCAUUGACCCGACCCGAACCGACUUUACCUGAUUUCCUUUUAAGCUUUAACAGGGUACUUGAAUCUCAAAAUGGGAUUUUUUUGGCAGAGCAUUCGAUAUGGUUUUAUGGGAUUCCUGGAUGGUGCUUGGGCAGAGCUGAUCCUCAUGGUUGAUGCCCGGAAGCUCUACUUUUGUGCAACAAAUUGAAGUUAGAGAUGAUGAUAAGAAAGGUGUCCUUCUAUAUUCGUUUUCCAAGAAACCUGACUUGAGCUCCCUAGCAAAUUGGAGACUUGGAGUGUAUCAAACUACAUGAUUCUUACAUCCCACAGCCGCAAGGUAGGAAAUAAACUAUUUGUUUUUGUGCUUCUUCACGGGUUUGCUAGAAAAUUGUUCCAUUUUUUUUCCGCGAUCAAAUGCUCUAUUUUUUUCUUUUUCUUUUUUCCAAAUUGGCAUAAAACUGAAGAUUUUCCUUGUGGUUGAACAAUGGAUCAACAAUCCGUAUGGCAUAUGAGGCUCCAACUCGUGCUUUAAAUCGAUUGCAAGUGGUAAUGACGACAGAGAGAAAUAGGGAGGGAUGGCAGCUAGGGUUUGAGAUCAACUGGCCUAGUUGCCAUCCCAUCUUCAGCAACAAUUUUACACCUAUUCAAAAGUAGCAAACAGGGGCGUAUCUAAGAAUUAUUUCAUCAGGCUAUGCCCAGGAAUAGCUGAUGGCCUGCAAUACACAACAAACAUAUCACAAACAGACCAGCAAGACAUUUCAUGCUGAUGUAUUUAGGAAGUAGAACUGUGUGUGCGUGUCCAACAGUGACUUAAAACUCUCAAAAGAGAAGGCAUUACAUAAGAGACUCAUAUGGUGAGUGCAUAUUGGUUUGUGCA